rnacentral:hammerhead_ribozyme from 1 species
GCACUGCUGACGAGUCCCAAACAGGACCAAACAGUUGAUGUCCAGUGC